ensembl:antisense Gm13883 predicted gene 13883
GAAAGAAAGCUCCAGAAAACAUCUGUGGCUGCUGGCUUUCUCGUGCCUCCCAUUGUUGGGAGACCAUGGACGUCGGUGGAGGAGGGAAGUUCUGUCACCUGUUUGGAAGCCGAAGCUGGCAACUCUGACUGGCUUGUGACAGCUGCGAGAGACUCCAGCUUGGUACCGGAAGAGCGAGGAGAAGCAGCUUGUGUGGUGAGCGCGGAUGAUGGAGGUGACCCUGGAGGAGAGAGGUCUGUUCUUAGUGCUGUCAUGAUGAGAGGCCUUGUUUGGACCAGAGUCUCAGUGGGGUCCUUGGCAAGAUCCAGGGAGGCGCUAUGUCCACUUCCUUGGUAAAGGGAUGAAGAGAAGUCCACAUGCGCCCUGGUCCUACGGUGUGCCUUAGGCAGAGGUGUCUGGGAUAGCUUCAGCAAGGUUGUGUUGUCAGGAGGCUGUCCCAGCACAUUCUUGAAUCUGUCUGCUGCUGAGGAAGACUUGACUUCCAAGAAAGGCCAUGUUGGUGAAAUUGGUAACAAUUUCCCAAGGGGAAAGGACUCUGAGGUCGGAGUGACAUGUAUCUGUAGAUUGUCUGUCCCUGUGAAAGAAAGCAUCCACAUGAGAUGUGGGAUCAGGAUGCGCUGCAAUGGGCAGGCGCUGGAGACAAGGAGCAGCAAGACAGGUCCUGCCUGGCCACAGUCCUUCCGCUCAUCACAGAACCCUCAUGAAACAACUCAAACAAGGAACGAAGUAGCAAGGAACGAACCUGGGCUUGCUUUCAUGUAAGAGGAGCCGUGGAUCACAAAGGGGACACCCUCUGCUGGAAGAGCGCAAAAGCAGGUCGGUAUGAGGGGUCCUCCCUCCCAGGCCUAGGCUGCAUCUCCAGUUGCUUUUCUCAGGGACUGUAGUCUGCCAACCGAAAAAAGGAACAACUGGAGAAAGUCUUAUAAUAGGAAGGUUUGCGAAUGAAUACACAACAGCCUCUUCAUGACAAAAGCUGAGCUGUGAUUGUCUUCUGAGAUGGUUUUUCCAGUUUUCCCUUUUGCAGCUUGGAGAAGGAAGGGUGGACGGUGUCUUUCACCCUAAGUAAGAACACGUGGACAGCUUUUCUUUUGAUUCUCCGUGCUCUUGUGAUUUCCCUUUUCCUUUUUUAAAUAAAAUUUUAAAUUAUUUUAACUU